UCCCUGGUGGUCUGGUGGUUAAGACUCUGAGCUCCCAAUACAGGGGAUUCAGGUUCGACCCCUGGUCAAAGAA
rfam:Ovis aries breed Texel chromosome 8, whole genome shotgun sequence.